GUAUAGUUCAAUUUAAAAUCUUAGAUUAAAUUUUUUUGGCAAGAGCACUUCAUAUCUGUAAUGUCAGUACAUGUACAGUACAAAGUCAGGCUGCUGUUGUGCUCUUUACAGAUAUACAAAUGUCUUAACACUCAACCACCAUCACGCCACCACAAUCCACAAAAACGCUCACAGCAACUCCAUUACGAAGAAUGGACUGAAGUUUCUAAUGAGUCUUCUGCAUUAUUUAUUUAGGCUUGUCAAAGGAAAAAGCAUGUGGUCUCCGAGUUGAUCCCAUUUAAAUAGACCAGAGUGCAUCUAACAGAAUGCCACUGCUGAUCAUUUUAAAUUCUCUUUAAGCUAGAGUUAAAACUAAAUAAUAAAACAUGUCUAAACUAAUAAAAAUCAUCACACAAUGAAGUGAGAACUCUUUAAAUAUCUGAAAAGGCACAGAGCACAGACUCUUGUACAUGAACAAUGAGGUACCUGAAGAUGUCAGACCAACGGCAAGAUUCAGGUUCUUUUGUGGCAAUCGUUCAGCUCCUGUCUGCCCCUCUUCUUCCUCCUGGCAUUAUAAAACCCAUCCUUUGUUUCCACACACCUGUAAUGCUCCAAUGCAGAUCACAUGCCUCCUUCAUCACACGAUCUCUGGAAACAAAUGAAAAAAAAAACAUCUUAAGAGAUAGAAUGUAUUCUCUUUAUUUUCUACCUGAUGUUCAUUUUUUCUUCCUUUUGAAAUGUGCAAAGAAACAUUCAUAUUAUCCAUUAUUCUUCAAAAUGAAAGAAGGAAACAUUGGGCAAUUAGUCAUAGCUGAUAUAAGUGUCCCUGAACUGUCGCCAGUGACAGUCAUAUACGAAAUCCUCAUUAAAUUUGAUAAUUUUCCACCAGAUAACAUACCAUACAUCCUAUUUCUCUGCCGUCUAAACUAAAGAGUAAAAUAAAUUAAGAUAUUUAAUCUUAAACAACGCUGACUAGUUUUAAAUAAAGGAGGCUUUGAGGUGACAUGAUUCAAGUAUUCAAUAUCCUUGAGUUGACAAGGGCAAUCCAAUAUACUUCCUCAAGAUCAAUAGUGAAGCCCUAGACCAGAGGACACAAAUGAAAACUGAGAGCAAGAGAACGUAAGACUGAGGACAGGGGCACUUUUUUACACAAAAGGUUAUUGAAUUCCUUCCUCUUCUCAACAGAACAAGCUACAUGGCCGAGAUGGCAUCACCUCAUUUAUAACUUUUAUUAUGUUCUUAUAUUCUUGCACAAUAUGAGAGGGGUCAUAGAAGUGUGCACGUCAUUAUAUGAAAAGCAACAAUCUUCAAACAAAUGUAUACAUAAACCAUUUUAAUUCCCUGUGGAGUCCGAUACUAUCCUGCGUGGGGGAUGCUCAACUAUGUUCCUCAGCCCUCUUGUCUUCUAUAAAAAUGAUCUUGAGAAGGUGAAAGUUGAGAGCUGCAACAAAAUAAGUAGAGGAUAACUCCAUGCGGGAAAGAAAACAUUUUUGGGCAUUUUCAGGUGUGCGUCUACAAAUUAAUCAGGAACCAAAAUGAUCCUUAAAUUUGGAUCUCCAUCUUCCACCAGCUGUUGACAGACUGAUUUCGUUUUCGAACCUGUUCGUUCAUUUACGGAUUUCAACAUUUUACACGUCUCCCCCAGAUUUCCAUUCAUAUGGGCAGUCUUUCACACCCGCUGUGUCUACUCUUGCAUGAUAUUCCUUUUGUUCUCCUUUACUUUAUAUCAAUGCAACAUUCAUAAGCGUCUCAUCCUCUUUCAAACCUGAAGAAGGCUCAACAUCUGAAAUGUGCAUUUUCUCUGCUUCUCAGAGAGGCAUUAACCUCUACUAGUUCCAUAUCUUGAAAAGGCUGAUUAAGAGAGGCAUAGAUAGAGAAACUCUGAUGGCUUAAUAGUGGAUAGUAAUCUAACAUACUGUAGACAGCCAUGCUGGUGGCCAAAUCUGAGAAAGUCAAGUGCAGGGAUGAUUAAAAGGGAUAACAUUUUUGAUAGCAUAGUUAUACCUUGGGGAACACUGCAUUAAAGAAAUUGAGGAUGAAGGGCAUUUAAGAAGUAAAAAAAAAAUCAAAUUAAAAUAAAUAUAUAAAGCAAAUCCCAUUUCAUGGAUGCAAGAGGGAAUGAAAACUCAAUUCUGCUUUCUCAAUCAAACUAAUGACCCUAUAAUAAUAUCUAAGGCCUUGAGACUUUUGCCAUAUCCCAGGUGUUCUAAUUUGGACAAAUAUACUUUCACUGUUAACAUCAUGACCUUCAAGAAUUAAGCUUUUAUUCCAAACGUGUUUGACAAAGAUCAAAUCACAACAGUAACUAAAUAUUUACUUGUAUUUUAAGUGUAUAAAUGCUGAUGUUUUAUAUGAAAUUGAUUUAAAUUAUGAGGUUGGUUACAAUACCAAGUAAUUAUAAUUAACGUAUUUAAACUGUACAAUUAUUAGCAUCUUUGUAAUCCCUGAGUGAUCAAUGUUUGUAUCAUGGCAGAUUCAUUCACAUAUGUUUGGUUUAAGUUGCACAUUUUUUUUGUUCUAUGAAAGAAAAUUGCAUAUUGUAACUUUUGAAUGUCUGUGUAUAUGUUGCCAUUUGUUAGGAUUGAUCGAUUCCUAGAAGUCAUAGAACACUCAGAAUUUACUGUUGUGACUUCUAAUUGUUUCAGAACGUUCAAGCCAUCACCACUACAACAUUAAUUCGGAUUAUGAACAUAGUCACAUGCCGAUAAAAGGAAAGACAUUGCAGUGGUAGUAUAUGACCUGGUCAAUAAUUGAGCAAUAAUUGACUCUUGUUUUAAAAGAUCAGCAACUCUAACCAAGUUCCAAUAAACAAAUGUUUUACCAGCUUCACCCUGUGUUUUCUUCCUAACUUAAACUGACAAACCCACUGAUGCAUGCCCUUUUACUAUAAAUCAGCAUUCACACCUGCUUAGUAUAGUAAAGGUCAUACAAUGCUUUCUAAUGAAUUUAGAGGUAGUGUUUGCUAUCUGAAUAAUCUUGUGUCAUGUCAUUUAAUACACUAAUGAAAAAAUAAAUGAAGUGGAUAACUGUGUUUUUUUCAAAGACUGGAAAAAAUAAAUAUGCUGAAAGAUAUUUUGCAAUGGAUAUAACUAUUCACUAUUACUACCAUCAUGAGAAAGGUCUGUUCAUUUGUAAUACAACGUCCUCUCAUAUUUUACACUGCACUGUAAUUACACUGUAUUUGUUUCAGUCCUGAACUGCAAUUCAAUGAUGCCUUUGUAAUGCUGCUAUUAAUAUAGUAAAGGUGCAGCAUUUGUUGCUAAAAAUGAAUGUAUACAAUAUGGUCGCACAUUAAGACAUACAGGGCAACUCUUUGUAAGACACAACUCGUAAUUUAAUGUAUUAACAUUAGCAUUUUUCUCAAUAUGUUCCUUUCAGAAUUUUAGUGUCCCCUUGCGUUACCAAUGACACCACUGAGUUAUAAGAACUUAAAUACUGAUAUGUGCUGGGGGGUAUGGUAUCAAUAAGGAUUGACAGCCACCAAUCAGGAAAUCAUUUAGCCUAUACGGGCCUACAACCAUGAUCAAAUGAAGACAGCACAGUUGCAAGCCACAAAGAAGACAUGGGAAGACCACCUGUUGAGUGGCUCCCCUAGAGUCAAUUAAACAACACAAGAAUCUGAAAUCUUUUACUAAUGCUGAAGUGGAAUGUGAAAUGGCCGAGCAGGUAAGCUGUGGUGGGCUAGAACCAGUAAAUUGGGUUGAUAUUCCAUAACGUUCCCUAACCACAUACAGUAUACUGAACUCUGACUCUAUGAUUGGACAGAAGCCUGUGUGAAAAAUGACCAAACAAGGUAUUAAAAUAGCAAGCUAAAAGGUGAAUGUCUGGUUCUGGAAAAGCAUCUUGCUAUCGGAAGUAGUCAGCCAUAAUACUCUCUUGUAUCCUCCAGAGCUGAAGAAAUAAGACCCUGAGUUCCACCUUCCAACACACCGAAGCUCCAGGAGUUUGGGAGGAUUCCUACCCUUUGAGGACUAAUUUAACAAGAGUUUUUUAGCACUGAACAGACCAAAAGUGAAGUUGGGGAUAAUGAGCUACAUUUUUACAUUUGAAUUACGUAUUUCUUUUUAGGAUCUAUCAGAGUGAGCAUUUAUCUCUAUAUAUCUGGGACGGUGUUAAGUACUGACCUUUCAUUAUAACAGAAAAGGUACUUUUAGAACAAUCCUGCACUUGUAAAAACUUAAUUUUUCUGUAUAAUAAAUUGUCUAAAAUCACAUGUAUCGAAUUAUUGAAAAUAUCCUCAUAGAAGGAUUCCCACAAGAAUAAAUUAACUUCACCAAAGGAAGUUUUAUUUUGUUAUUAAUUGCUACUCACAAGCAUUGGCUAAUGGGAUGGAACUCUG
ensembl:lincRNA